CAGUUCGGACUGUAGGCUGCAACUCGCCUACACGAAGUCGGAAUCGCUAGUAAUCGCGGAUCAGCAUGCCGCGGUGAAUACGUCCCCGGGCCUUGUACACACCGCCCGUCACACCAUGGGAGUUUGUAACGCCCAAAGUCGGUGGCCUAACCUUUAUGGAGGGAGCCGCCUAAGGCGGGACAGAUGACUGGGGUGAAGUCGUAACAAGGUACC
rnacentral:rRNA from 1 species